GACGAACGCUGGCGGCGUGCCUAAUACAUGCAAGUCGAGCGAAGAUUUUCUGGUGCUUGCACCGGAAAAACUUAGCGGCGAACGGGUGAGUAACACGUAAAGAACCUGCCUCAUAGACUGGGACAACUAUUGGAAACGAUAGCUAAUACCGGAUAAUAGCAUUAACUGCAUGGUUGAUGUGUAAAAGUUGGUUUUGCUAACACUAUGAGAUGGCUUUGCGGUGCAUUAGCUAGUUGGUGGGGUAAAGGCCUACCAAGGCGACGAUGCAUAGCCGACCUGAGAGGGUGAUCGGCCACACUGGGACUGAGACACGGCCCAGACUCCUACGGGAGGCAGCAGUAGGGAAUCUUCCGCAAUGGGCGAAAGCCUGACGGAGCAACGCCGCGUGAGUGAAGAAGGAUUUCGGUUCGUAAAGCUCUGUUGUUAGGGAAGAAUGAUUGUGUAGUAACUAUACACAGUAGAGACGGUACCUAACCAGAAAGCCACGGCUAACUACGUG
rnacentral:rRNA from 1 species